rnacentral:rRNA from 1 species
GUGCCUACGGGGGGCAGCAGUGGGGAAUAUUGCACAAUGGGGGAAACCCUGAUGCAGCGACGCCGCGUGAGUGAAGAAGUAUUUCGGUACGUAAAGCUCUAUCAGCAGGGAAGAAAUAAAGUCCUUUGGACUUUGGACGGUACCUGAAAAAGAAGCUCCGGCUAAAUACGUGCCAGCAGCCGCGGUAAUACGUAUGGAGCAAGCGUUAUCCGGAUUUACUGGGUGUAAAGGGAGAGUAGGUGGCAGAGCAAGUCCGAAGUGAAAACCCAAAGCUCAACUAUGGGAAUGCUUUAGAAACUGCUCAG